ensembl:lncRNA
CCAGCUGAUUAGCCAUCACGCCAUACAGCUGUGGGGGAACUAAUGAUUGGUUUGGAUGUUGCAGCAGGGGGUUCAAAUUGAUUGACGGACGUAGUUCCAGUAUACUCCUGAACACUCCUGGACAGACCAGUCUUCUGUGGCUGCAGGGCAGAGUCUGCUGACGGUGUCUCUGCUUAUCGGCGGCGUCAUGCGCGUGUAGGGUCGGACAUCCGAGGAAUGUACUGCAUGGCUCUGCUGAAACUGGACCCUCAGAAUGGGAGUGGGAGAGCGAGUGGAGUGCUCAGGGGAGGUCACGUAGGUUUAUGGAAGGUCAGCGAGCCCACCUGAGAGUCCGACCCCAGCACUGAUCAAGCAGACAGAGAUGUACUUUGAUCAUGUGUCUUGAGGUGCCGUCCCAUCCGACAAGUUCUCAAGUUAUGUAAGCAUCCCAAGAGGGGGGUCCACCUCCUGGUCUGCUUCUGCAGCUCCACCUCCCAUCCUGACCCCCUGUCCCACCUCAGUCUUGUGACUGUGGGGAACAAAGACGGUGGUGGGCAUUUGAGCCAUGUGGAAGGUGACUCCUGGUGCCAGUGUUGGGUUUCAGGCUCGACCUACAAAGUGAGAAGCGGAGACCAUGCGCUGCCGCUGUCAGGAGUGAGAUAUAGGGGAAAAACGGAGACAAAGACAGUGACAGAGAGAGAGAUCGGAAAGAAGGGGGGGAGAGAGAAAGAGAAACGCCCUCACCGCUGCUAUGCAUGAUGGGCAUGAAUGCGUUUCACCAAAGAGCUUGAGUCUUCACCACCACUGACAGCCCACAAACCCAAACACUGAGGGAGCGCUUCACUUCUGGGACCAUGCUGGCUUCUGGCACGAAAUUCUGAGAUUUUAUUUAUUUCAAUUGGGUACAUAACUUGUUAUUAAAUGCUGGCUCUGAGCAAACAUGCUCACCACACAAGCUUGGGUUAGGGUGCUGUAGGGAUAAAGUCUUAACAAUUUGCAUUUGGUUGCACAAGUGGCGCCUUCAUCACCAGCUAGUACACUCUGCCACUUAAGUAUGCAGACGUCUUUUUACGUUUUACUUUAAAACCCUUAAAAGACAAUAGACACCUUAAUCAGUGAGGCAAGGGGGGGAAAAGUGACAUUUUUCCACCCAAUCUCUUGAAAAUUAUGUUCCUGUAUAACAAAUGUACAUUCUUAAUUAGGUUUUGAAAUGUGUCCUCCUUGUCUGGUAACAGGACAUAGCUGCAAAUGUGUCCAUUUUUAGUCACGAGUCUGUAUUGGUCAGGUUGUGGCGCCUAAACUGUUUGGUGAAUUAAAAAAAAAAUAAAAAA